AUCGCUUCUCGGCCUUUUGGCUAAGAUCAAGUGUAGUAUCUGUUCUUAUCAGUUUAAUAUCUGAUGUCCUCUAUCCGAGGACAAUAUAUUAAAUGGAUUUUGGAGCAGGGAGAUGGAAUAGGAGCGCCGUCCACUCCACGCAUCGACCUGGUAUUGCAGUACCUCCAGGAACGGUGCACCCCUC
rnacentral:snRNA from 1 species